rnacentral:sRNA from 1 species
CCGUAGCCAUGUCGGUUCAAG